UACGGAGGUGGCAAGCGUUGUUCGGAAUUACUGGGCGUAAAGGGCGCGUAGGCGGCAGGGCAAGUCAGGUGUGAAAGCCCCGGGCUUAACUCGGGAACUGCAUCUGAAACUGCUUUGCUUGAGUCCUGGAGGGGGUAGUGGAAUUCCCAGUGUAGCGGUGAAAUGCGUAGAUAUUGGGAGGAACACCGGUGGCGAAGGCGGCUACCUGGACAGUGACUGACGCUGAGGCGCGAAAGCUAGGGGAGCGAACGGG
rnacentral:rRNA from 1 species